rnacentral:rRNA from 1 species
UGCCAGCCGCCGCGGUAAUACGAGGGGUCCAAGCGUUGUUCGGAAUCAUUGGGCGUAAAGCGGGUGUAGGCGGACUGGUAAGUCAGAAGUGAAAGCCCCGGGCUCAACCCGGGAAGUGCUUUUGAUACUGUCAGUCUUGAGUGUGGGAGAGGAUAGUGGAAUUCCAGGUGUAGUGGUGAAAUACGUAGAUAUCUGGAGGAACACCGGUGGCGAAGGCGGCUAUCUGGCCCAACACUGACGCUCAGACCCGAAAGCGUGGGGAGCAAACGGGAUUAGAUA